UACAUGGGGUGCAAACGUUGCUCGGAAUUAUUGGGCGUAAAGCGCACGUAGGCGGUUCGUUAAGUCGGAUGUGAAAGCCCUCGGCUCAACUGAGGAAGUGCACCCGAAACUGGCGAGCUUGAGUACGAAAGAGGAUCGCGGAAUUCCCGGUGUAGAGGUGAAAUUCGUAGAUAUUCGGAAGAACACCAGUGGCGAAGGCGACUCACUGGCCCGUUACUGACGCUGAGGCGCGAAAGCGUGGGGAGCAAACAGG
rnacentral:rRNA from 1 species